AUUGAACGCUGGCGGCAGGCCUAACACAUGCAAGUCGAGCGGAGCGGCGGACGGGUGAGUAAUGCCUAGGAAUCUGCCUGGUAGUGGGGGAUAACGUCCGGAAACGGGCGCUAAUACCGCAUACUAUCAGAUGAGCCUAGGUCGGAUUAGCUAGUUGGUGGGGUAAAGGCCUACCAAGGCGACGAUCCGUACCUGGUCUGAGAGGAUGAUCAGUCACAUGGGAACUGGAAACCGGUCCAGACUCCUACGGGGGGCAGCAGAGGGGAAUAUUGGACAAGGGGCGAAAGCCUGAUGCGGACAGGCCGCGUGUGUGAAGAGGGUCUUCGGAUGUAAAGGCACGUUAAGUUGGGAGGCGUUACCAACAGAAUAAGCACCGGCUAACUUCGUGCCAGCAGCCGCGGUAAUUC
rnacentral:rRNA from 1 species